GACCAUGUGUUAUCUCCUCAAACAACCCACCGCCCAUAUUUCCACCACUUCCUAUUCUAUAAUCCAACGAUCCAUUCUUAUCUGCGUCAUCACACCAACAAAAUGCAUGAAAUAGAAGUUCAGAUCGAGUCGGAUCGUCGAUUGAUGCUUAUGUAUAACCAUAGUUUGGUGAACUUUACCAUUUUCAUUUAGUAUCCACAGAAAUACAAGCUCAGAUCUUCGGAUUUAAACAAGUUAUACUCAAGAACAGAUCAAUAGCUGUGUGCGUGUGUUGAAAACAGAAAUCGGAAAAAUGGUCGUUCGGAGACACUUACUGUUGCUAUUAACACAGCCGGUGGAACAGGAAUCAAGGCAUUCGAUACCUUGGGAUUCAACCUGACUUAUAUCGUUGGACGAUAUGAUGAGAAGCACGACUAAUGCUACUGCUGCGAUCAACGUCUUCUUCUCCAUUGAAUUCCACAGGGCUUCUGAUUGCUUUUUCCCUAAAACUUUUUGCGGCUUCAUUUUUGCGUUUUUCCUAUGGGUUUCGUUUUCCCUUUGUUUGUUGUAGGUCUAAUUUCAUUUGGUGUCUUCUCUGGUGAUACGGUGGUGGUUGUCGGCAAGGGUGAAGGCAGAAGAUGUGUUAUUUGGUUUUUAAUGUCCUGAGUUCUAUCCAAGCAUAUGUUCCACCUCCCAUUACUUCCUGCUGAAAGUGUACCCUAAGGUUAGAAACAUAUACAUCAACCAUUGAUGUGAUUGGAAGAAAUUGGAAGUAUGGAGGUUUUUAGAAGAGUUGAACACUUUCCUGAAUUUUUUUUAAGAAGUGACAUUAGACAAAUUUCACCAUGCUUAUACUCUAGUUGAAUCUCAAGCUUGGAUCAACACAAGGGGUGUGUCCAUGGUACCCUAAUUUCGUAGGUUAGCUUUUAGGUCUUGUGGGAAUGAACUUUUGGUGGUGGGUGGACAACAGGAGGCUAGGAAACUUAAGGACCGACAUUUCAAGGAACCUAUACAGGUGGUUGAUGAUAAAAUUGUUUUAGCUGCAAGGAAGUCAAACUUUAGCAUGGAUAAAGAUCCAGAGUUCAGUAAGGAUGGCAAUUGAAACUCAAAGCAUGUGACUGUGAUAAGUAAUGAUUCAAAGGUAAUUAAGAAGAUACUGAAAGAGGGUGAAGGUGCUCUCACUCUAAAUGAAGGUGCUUUUGUUCUUAUUACGUAAACAGCUAUGCUAGAAUAUGAAACUGUGUUUGAGAAAAAGAGUUUUGAUGGAGACACCCCAUUAAACUUCAUUACAGAUAAAGUGGCAACAAUGAAGAAGGGUGAGCAGGCAAUAUUAACCAUCACUCAUGAAUAUGGAUAUGGAAGCCAAGAAAUAAACUAUGCUUUUGGCUGUGAUUCCUCCCUUUUCAAAUUUAGUUUAUGAAGUCGAAAUGAUCCAAUUUGAGAAGGAAAAGGGUCGAUGGGAGAUGGAUGUUCAUGAAAGAAUCGAAGCAGCUGGGAGGAAGAAAGAAGAAGGAAAUCUUCUUCAUUAAAGUGGUAAAUAUCAAAGAGCAGCUAAAAAAUACGACAAGGCAGUGGAUUAUGUUUUUGAAGAAGGGCAGAUUGGGGAUGCCAAUGUGGUUGUCAAUGGUGCAACUGUGAAUCUUGGCUUGUGUGAUACUAUUGGACAGGAGGAUUAUAACAAACUCGAUCUUCAGGAUGAUAAGUACUUCUUUGUGAAGUACCCUGGUGCAACUCCCAUAACUAAUGCUCAGGUGUUUUCAAUUCACCAAUCUGUUUUACUGCUGAAAGUUUCUUGCUGUUUUGGAAUAAUUUCAAUUGUUGGACUUUUAUUUCUGGCUUGAGCCCUGAUGUCCUUAUUAGUGGUUGUAUUGUGUUGAAUUGAAAUCUAACCCCUCAAAGUGGGGACACUUCCCUAGUUCUAUUUAAUAUAUAAUUAUUAUAAUAUAA